rnacentral:rRNA from 1 species
AAUACAUGGGUAAUCUGCCUUCGAGUUUGGGAUAACCAGUCGAAAGACUGGCUAAUACCGGAUAAGACCACAGGAACUGAGGUUCUAGGGGUUAAAGGUUUUCCGCUUGAAGAUGAGCCCAUGUGGGAUUAGCUGGUUGGUGAGGUAAUGGCUCACCAAGGCUGCGAUCCCUAACUGGUCUUAGAGGAUGAUCAGUCACACUGGAACUGAGACACGGUCCAG